rnacentral:lncRNA from 1 species
AACAACGACAGAGGCCAUGUAAGAAAGCCACACGGUCCCCGUUUAAAAGAUGGGUGAUGUGUAAAUGAGAGUUUCCGAGCUAUUGGGAUUACCGUAGGGUAUCUUACAAUUUCCUUACAACCUUACCUUAACCUUUGGGCCGCAAGUUCCAUGAGUUUACGCAGUCCAGCUUAAGGGGAGCUCGUUCUUUUCCUGCAAUUCAUUUUAGUGCCAUGCAUGUUUCCCCGUACCGCGCGUUACACCGUAAUGCCAUCCCAACUCAGUUUGGUGCACAACAAAUCAAAAAAAGAGGUUUCUUUCCACAUCCUUUCCUGUUUAGGAAUUAUGAUUUGCCACCAAGGUCCUCCCUGCUGGUCCUAAGCAUCUCGUCUGACAGGCCUAGAGAGAGCAUGAAGCGCAAGCUCAGCGUUUCAGAGCGCCUAUCUGCAUAAGGCUGUCAUCCAAGAGCGUCGGGAGCCUUGGGCGCGGCUCCAGUUACCCUGCGAACGUGGCUGGUGACGAAGAAACACAGG